rnacentral:rRNA from 1 species
CGCGUGCCUAUACUGCAGUCGAGCGAUGGAUUAAGAGCUUGCUCUUAUGAAGUUAGCGGCGGACGGGUGAGUAACACGUGGGUAACCUGCCCAUAAGACUGGGAUAACUCCGGGAAACCGGGGCUAAUACCGGAUAACAUUUUGAACCGCAUGGUUCGAAAUUGAAAGGCGGCUUCGGCUGUCACUUAUGGAUGGACCCGCGUCGCAUUAGCUAGUUGGUGAGGUAACGGCUCACCAAGGCAACGAUGCGUAGCCGACCUGAGAGGGUGAUCGGCCACACUGGGACUGAGACACGGCCCAGACUCCUACGGGAGGCAGCAGUAGGGAAUCUUCCGCAAUGGACGAAAGUCUGACGGAGCAACGCCGCGUGAGUGAUGAAGGCUUUCGGGUCGUAAAACUCUGUUGUUAGGGAAGAACAAGUGCUAGUUGAAUAAGCUGGCACCUUGACGGUACCUAACCAGAAAGCCACGGCUAACUACGUGCCAGCAGCCGCGGUAAUACGUAGGUGGCAAGCGUUAUCCGGAAUUAUUGGGCGUAAAGCGCGCGCAGGUGGUUUCUUAAGUCUGAUGUGAAAGCCCACGGCUCAACCGUGGAGGGUCAUUGGAAAAUGG